rnacentral:ncRNA from 1 species
GCCGGUGAGAUCCCGGCACGGUCGCGCCACUGUAUGCGGGCUCUGAGUCCCGUAAGUCAGA